rfam:Angiostrongylus costaricensis strain Costa Rica genome assembly, scaffold: ACOC_scaffold0000306
UGAACCAUGCCUGAGCUGGACGAACUCAGAGAAAGCUCUUGUGAAAGUCCGUAUCGGUUCUGACGUCCAAAGCGAUCGAUAGACUUGGGUAUAGGAGCGCAAGACUAAUCAAA